rnacentral:rRNA from 1 species
CAGUCGCCGCGGGAAUACGAAGGGGGCUAGCGUUGUUCGGAUUUACUGGGCGUAAAGCGCACGUAGGCGGACUUUUAAGUCAGGGGUGAAAUCCCGGGGCUCAACCCCGGAACUGCCUUUGAUACUGGAAGUCUUGAGUAUGGUAGAGGUGAGUGGAAUUCCGAGUGUAGAGGUGAAAUUCGUAGAUAUUCGGAGGAACACCAGUGACGAAGGCGGCUCACUGGACCAUUACUGACGCUGAGGUGCGAAAGCGUGGGGAGCAAACAGGAUUAGAUACCCCGGUAGUCCCUGUCUCUUAUAU